CCGGCUUCAGGUGUUACCGACUUUCAUGACUUGACGGGCGGUGUGUACAAGACCCGGGAACGUAUUCACCGCAGCGUUGCUGAUCUGCGAUUACUAGCGACUCCGACUUCAUGAGGUCGAGUUGCAGACCUCAAUCCGAACUGGGACCGGCUUUUUGGGAUUCGCUCCACCUUACGGUAUUGCAGCCCUUUGUACCGGCCAUUGUAGCAUGCGUGAAGCCCAAGACAUAAGGGGCAUGAUGAUUUGACGUCAUCCCCACCUUCCUCCGAGUUGACCCCGGCAGUAUCCCAUGAGUUCCCACCAUUACGUGCUGGCAACAUAGAACGAGGGUUGCGCUCGUUGCGGGACUUAACCCAACAUCUCACGACACGAGCUGACGACAACCAUGCACCACCUGUUUACGAGUGUCCAAAGAGUUCUACAUUUCUGCAGCGUUCUCGUAUAUGUCAAGCCUUGGUAAGGUUCUUCGCGUUGCAUCGAAUUAAUCCGCAUGCUCCGCCGCUUGUGCGGGUCCCCGUCAAUUCCUUUGAGUUUUAGCCUUGCGGCCGUACUCCCCAGGCGGGGAACUUAAUGCGUUAGCUGCGUCACGGAAUCCGUGGAAUGGACCCCACAACUAGUUCCCAACGUUUACGGGGUGGACUACCAGGGUAUCUAAGCCUGUUUGCUCCCCACCCUUUCGCUCCUCAGCGUCAGUUACGGCCCAGAGAUCUGCCUUCGCCAUCGGUGUUCCUCCUGAUAUCUGCGCAUUCCACCGCUACACCAGGAAUUCCAAUCUCCCCUACCGCACUCUAGUCUGCCCGUACCCACUGCAGACCCGAGGUUGAGCCUCGGGAUUUCACAGCAGACGCGACAAACCGCCUACGAGCUCUUUACGCCCAAUAAUUCCGGAUAACGCUUGCGCCCUACGUAUUACCGCGGCUGCUGGCACGUAGUUAGCCGGCGCUUUUUCUGCAGGUACCGUCACUCACGCUUCUUCCCUGCUAAAAGAGGUUUACAACCCGAAGGCCGUCAUCCCUCACGCGGCGUUGCUGCAUCAGGCUUUCGCCCAUUGUGCAAUAUUCCCCACUGCUGCCUCCCGUAGGAGUCUGGGCCGUGUCUCAGUCCCAGUGUGGCCGGUCACCCUCUCAGGCCGGCUACCCGUCGACGCCUUGGUGAGCCAUUACCUCACCAACAAGCUGAUAGGCCGCGAGCUCAUCCCUGACCAAAAAAUCUUUCCAACCGUUGAAGAUGCCUCCACGGUUCGUAUCCAGUAUUAGACGCCGUUUCCAGCGCUUAUCCCAGAGUCAGGGGCAGAUUGCUCACGUGUUACUCACCCGUUCGCCACUGAUCCACCCAGCAAGCU
rnacentral:rRNA from 1 species